rnacentral:misc_RNA from 1 species
UCUCCGUUGGUGAACCAGCGGAGGGAUCAUUAUCAGAAGCGCCGAAAGGCUGCUUUAACACCAUCGCGAACCUAUCCAUCAGCGUUGCUUCGGCGGGUUGAGGUCCCGGGGCCUGUCCCCGGGUCCGGGAGCCACCUCUUCGGGGGUGGGACCGCCCGCCGGAGGUGCGAAACUCUUCUGUAUCUUAGUGGAAUCUCUGAGUAAGCAAGCUAAUAAUCAAAACUUUCAACAACGGAUCUCUUGGUUCUG